CUCGUGAUUUGCCACAGUUAGUUCUAUAAAGUCACCUGAACACUGAAUUCGUGGAUACAGAGCCCUUGCUUCUGGAGAAAUACAGGGCUAGGUUCCUGCGAGCUUCUGGUCACAUUUUCAUCAACCAAUCAAUACAUAACCUUGCUUAUGCAUGUUCCUGUUUAAAGACACCUUUUUGAAUAGACAUUGGUGAUCCCAUUAACACUGAGUCCAUGGCCAACAGCACUGGAACUCACACCUGAGUAAAGCUAUCUCACAUUUCUCUGUGAGGCACAUCACAGCCUCUUGCUCUUAGGACGCUAGACAGUACAUCAGUACUGGGCUUGGGGUCAUUUUAAACAGCAAAAUCACUAACAAAAAUCACAGAAAUGUGAAGAAUAUGGCGCUAUGUGGGCCGUGAAAAGAGCACUUGUUGGUGGCAUGAGCUGAAAUGAAAUGGUGGGGCGUCACCUGUGUGACCUCAGCCAGGCCCAUGGCCUGUGGCUGACUCUGGGGUGGCACCGUGCUGGCAGGUGGGGCACACUCAAAGAUGAGCUGUUAUUAUCAAAGGGUGUGAAAUUUCCAGACAACCACUGACUUGAUGAAUCCUCUUGGGCACCAGAGCGUGUGCUGCAUCUGAGAUGCUGGCUGGGGAGCCCAGGCAGUCGACGGGAGAGGAGCGCUCACUGUCUUACUGGAAACAAGCUGUUUGGAGAACAACCUGUUUUUACUCUCCUUUUGCAAGCAAAACACUCCCACUGAGCAAUAGCGUUUAUGGCAGCAUUUAGCGGACACAGAAGCACAUCUGAAAGUGGAGAGAGACGCGUUUCCCCAUUGCUGGCCGAGUCCCACCACUUUGCUCAGCUAUGAACACCUGACAUCUCGUUUCAUUUUCAUGCAAAAUCUGGAGAUAAUUAUUAUCCACAAUUCUAAGGCCUUAGGCCCCUCCGCAUGAGCCUGCCAUUACCACUUCAUUCCCUUGCACCUGAAAGACUCCAGAGCCCCUUGAAAGAACAGGUCCUCCAAGAGGAGCAUCGCCAGCCAGCCCCUGAAUCUCCUGAGGAAACUCUCAUGCACAUAUCUUGACCUGAGCACAGACCGGACGCCAGCGGAGGGCAGGAGCAAGCAGGACACACUGUGGCUGAGGAGGGGACCCUGGGCUUGUGGGCCUCGGAGAGGCAGAGCAGGGGAGGCAGAUGAGACUGCACACAGCUUUUUGUUUGACAUAUCCUAAGCCCCCUGCACACGCCACUCAAGGUCUUCUCUGUGCCCCAUCUGGUGCAGGAGGCCUGUCUGUCUGUGAAAUUGCUUUUAGCAAUAGCUGUGGAUCACCACUGAGAGGGUGAAUAUACAAAUGAACAAUGGGCAGACCGUCUAUGAUGGCAAAACUUGGACCUCCAACCUUGAGGCCAAAGCACAUCAUGUGCGGCCUCUGGCGGGACUCAGGUCUGGGAAGCGACUGCAGCUUCCCUAUUUUCUAGCUCUGCUUCCAACUAAGAAAGUCAGAUAUUCUCCCCAAACCAACCCCAUAGGAUGCCCGCUGCCAGGUGGCCCACCCCCAGCUUCCCCCUGACAACAGCCUCCACCCAGGGCAUACCCAACCAGAGCCUUCCCAUCUUCUAAUGGGAAGCUUCCCCUCCCCACCCCACCUUCAAGGCUCUGCCACGCGCAGGGACAGUGUAGCCUUCUUGGCUACAGCUUCGAGUGAGCAGCCUCUGCCAUCCUCGCUGAUGUCCCCGGUUACCGUGAAGGCUCCUCCAGGACACUGUCUGCACUGCCUGUCGUCCAGACCCCACCUCUGCCCAGGCACCCUGGCCUUAAUGCUGCAGCCCACAGGGCACCCAGCUGGUGACUGAGGCCUGUUCUGAGCCCCUCGCUGGCACAUUCCUGGACUUCUCAGUUUGGUGCCAGGGCCUCAUUCCUGCUUCCCAUUUGCUCUGUUACAGGGGAAUUAGUCCCUUCCUUUACUCUUUUGUGCUGUGCUUUCUAAACGUGGUGUUUGUCAUAAUAAGAAGCAUGAGGGGCACAUGGAUCAGCCUCACAGACAGGUGAGUCUGUAGCUCUUACCAGACCCUUGUUCACAUCCAUGAACUUGGCUGUGGAUCACCAGGGAAACUGGGUGAGGUUCUGCCAUCCAGGGGUUUUGUCCUGAGAACUUGGCUUUUAGAACAUUCUCUCUGGUUUUUUGCUUGGGGGUGGGGGUCUGGUGCAGGGUGCUGGGUCUGUGUUUGGAGGAGGCCAGCCCGUAGGCUGGGGGCCUGAGACACUGUGCACUGGCGUGAUGCGUCUGCCGCCCAUCACCAGCUUGCAGGGGCAUCCACGGCUGAAUCCUCUGCUCUUCCAGGAAAGACUUAUGCUUCUCAUGGUCCUAGUUCUCAU
rnacentral:lncRNA from 10 species